UGGCUGUGUGGGCUUCCUUCUUUCAUUAAGGACAGCCCACACAGCCAAUAGCAGCCAGAGCAAGGGAGGAGCUUCCUAUCUCAACUCCAGCUUGGGAGAAGGCUAACAGCUGUGCUAGCGUUUCGAUGUCACACUGGCACCGUCAAAAUGGAGGUGGAGGCCACAAAACACAGAGAUAACCGAAGUACAGGCAGGCGGCAAAACCACGAAGCUUUACAGAGUCCUUUAUUGACCAAUAUACAUAGCUGUUGAGCUGUGUUUGGCUUGGUGGAUGACAAGUUCUGCAGUCACGAUUUUCAAAGCAGCCUAGAAGAGAGACAAGAACACUGUAGUGGGAGAAUCUGUGUAUGGUCCAUGCUUUCAAAUGUCAAAGCUGCUCUAGAAAUUAAGAAGAAAUCCAUUUAUCUGAUCAUCAGCAACAAUAGAAUGGUAUAAUAAAGAAUUAUAUUGUUGACUU